CCAAAACCACUGCCACUCAUCUCAUCCGGUUUGAAGAUCAGUACCAACCACCGCCGACGAAGGCAGUCCUAAAACGUUUAAACCCUAAAAUCAAACCUCUCGAAAUACGGUGAGCAAAGAAGUUGUCAAGGUUUAUGUUAAACCUAAGAAAAGGCCAUACCCCUGUUUCUUCGUGUCUUUCUCAGGGAUGUAGGAAGCCGUUGCCGGAGACCUAUGGCGGUUACGACGAACGACGUGAUCAAGCCGUCUCCGGCGUCUGUUCUGUGACGUGCGUCUCCGAUUGUGUCCAAGGCGAUGUUUAAGUAUCUAUUGGUUUUGUUUCAUCUUUAGUUUAUUGCUAUUAAUCUGAAUAUAUACGUGUGAUUGAUGAAUGGAUGCUACUUAAUCGAUUACCUUUUGUAUAGGUAAAUAUGAUGGGCUAUGGUCAACCAGUUUCAUUCAUUGCGCUCUAAUUUGAAAUCAAUGAAACUCCCUGAACCAUAAGAAACCCUUUUGCUUAACUCCUCUAAAUAUGAUAUUGAAUUAUGUUAUUUGAAUAUUACAUUACGUAUGAUGUAAAUACAUAAUGACUUGGCGAAACUUACUUGGGUUGUAAUUCAAUGUAAGCCAGAUGUGUCUUUGCUGAUGAAACUGAUAUUUGCAGUCAGAGGAUGAGGUGUGGACCCGUUGGGGGCUAUGAUCUAUGAUGAAACUGGUGACGCAAAUUAUGACUUGGUUUACUUAUGUUCCGUGCUCUACCUGUGAACAAUGUGGCAAGCAUCAGGUAGUUUUACAUUUAUGGUUGAAUGGAUAAUAGACCGAUAUGAGGCAAACGGGUCAGUCGCGUAACGGGUAAAAAGACAAACUUUUAUACGGGUAUUAGUUGUGCAAAGAGUGAUCAGUUUCAGCCUUCGGGUUUAUAGAGAUUGAGAUGAGAGAAUAUCACAGACUUUGAUUAAUCAGAUAUCACAUGAGAAAGAAAAUGAUACAUAAGUGUUUUUACGCUGAUAAAGAAGGUUGCAGAAAAGGGUAUAGCUUUGUUUUGUACAUCUUGGAUGUAUAGGUUAGGCGAUGUAACUAUGGAACAUUGGUGUAACAAAUGCAUGGGUUUAUUUGGUAUGACACAUAUGAAUAGCUCACCGCCGUAUUGCGGCGGGUA
rnacentral:lncRNA from 1 species